UGGUGCAAAAAAAAUUUGAAUUUAUAGAUGUGAACGAGCUUUCCAAGACAUAUUUUUACGUUCUAAAUAAUUAUGAAGAAAUUAAAGAUUUUAUUGAGUAAGUAUCAUCUUAUGAUACUGUUUAAUGAUCAAAAAAAAAUUUUAUAUCGAUGUAAAAUUAAAAAUUAUAAUUUCUUACAGUGAGCACAAGAGUAUACUAUGUAGAGAGAAUAAUACGGA
rnacentral:lncRNA from 1 species